UCUGAGCCCAGGGAAGGAGAAGGAGCCCCCAGAGAAGCUGUACCAGGUGGGGCUGCUGCUGCAGGAGACAGCGAGGAUGACAUCAAGGAUGACAUGAAGGAUGACAACCUUGUCCUCAGCCUGGUCACCAGCAGUUGAAGAGGAAGCAUUCUGGUUAGUCCAGUCUGGAUCGGGAAGUGCUUGGGACCAGCUGUGGCAUGGAUGGGCCGUGCCCUUGGAGCAGGCUGAGGACAUCGUUUGGGACCGGCUUUUCUUCCAGCCGUGGAUGGCGAGAGCUGGGCUCUGCUGGUGCUGAAGUUUCUCUGGGCUCUGCCAGGGCUCUGCUGGGCUCAGCCCUGGGCACUGCUGGGCUGGCUCUGCCCUCACAUUGCUCUGACAGCUUUGCAUCAGACGAGCCCGUUCCGAGCACAGCACCUGAGCUUUCUGCUUUGGCAGAAGUGCCACGAGUGGGCCAAACGUGGCAAGUGGGCCGUGUUCCUGAGGCAGUGCAGUCUGGAGCUGCUGGAUGGAGAAUUGCCCUGCUGCACUUCCAAACCAGAGCAAAGAGCUAAAACAUGUCCUGUAAAAGGAAUGUCCUUUGCUCCUGGUUCCCGUGUGGAGCAGCUCCCUUCCCGCUGGCUGGGCUGCUCAGGCAGAGCCCGGCAGCUCCUGGCCCUGCAGGGCUGAGGCUUUUCCCCACUGCUGGGCACAGACUGAUGGAGCAGCACUGCUGAACACAGGCACACAGAGGGACCAGGAGCAGCUGCCUUUGGCCACCUGAGGCUCCAAGGCCCAAACUCUGAGCAGCCAGGGCUGGAAGAGACUCGCAGGCUCCCUGGUGGCUGUGCUGCCCCACUUGUGCCUGGCCCAGCUUUGCUUGGGGCAGAGGGAGAACAAGGGGCAGCUCCCUCCCAGCCCAGCCCAGGGACCCCUCCAGCCCCGGGGCUUGGGGCACUGUCAGCACCUGCUGCUCCAGCCACCACUCCUGCUGGCCCUGACAGCAACACCCAGAUUGGGGCUGAUCCCGAGUGAGCAGCAGCAGGGCCUGGAUCUGAUCCCUGACUCUGGGGCAUGGCUGGACAAAUGGCCCCGCAGCAGCAGCACAUGGAGCUGACUUUCAGCACAGCCCCUGCCACUCUUCCCUCCUGUGUGCAGCAGUGUCACAGCAGCCUGAGGCACCUGGGAGCCCCCAGUGCCAGCAGGGACUUGAGAUGGCAGCCCUGGGCUCCUGGAGGUUGUGCAAGGAAUGGAGCUGGGGACUCCCUGUCCAUGGGAAGCUUCCAGAUGGAAAAGGCUGCUGUGUCCAGGCAGCUCCAAGGCCACAGCAAGGAGGGUCUCAACCACUGGAUCUGUGCCAGUCCUACAGUCCUGGGCAGAAGCCACUGAGCCCUGGGGGAACAGAGGGCACAGCAAGAGGGACAAAACCAGGCCAGGUCAGAGACUGGAGAGAGCCAGAGCCGGGAGCAGGAACAGCUGCUCCAUUGCACUCUUGGAAAAACCCCUUGGCUGGUUCAAAGCGCUGAAAGGUGUGAAGGGCAGAGAGGAGGCCACAGCAAACAAUGCUCCUGUUUCCACACCCUCUCCUCUCUGUCCCAGAAGAAAUUGCAUGGACUGUACUCAUCUCUCCGAGUCAUCUCGUUCAGCAUGAGCAGCUUAGCACCAGGAGCUGAAGGAGCAGCAGCCAUAGGCCACAGGAGCUGAACACUUUUGGAGCAAAGUAAUGCUGCUCAAAUAGACCUAGCUGAAUGCAGCAGAUAUAAUAAUGGAAUCACAGCAUCCUUUCUGUUGGAAAAGACCUCUGAGCUCAUCCAGUCCAGCCGGUCACCCAGCAUUGCCAAGCCCAGCACUAAACCCUGUCCCUGAAGUGCCAAGGCCUGGACAGCAGGCCCUGAGCCAAAGGUGACUUCUGGAUGAACCUUCCAACCAAAGGUUAUCUCUGUAUCUGCUCACUGAUGAAAUAUGCAUGGUCAUUAGCACUGUGAUAGAUGUAGCCACUCAUUAGUAAAACAUGUAUUGAUGUUUUUGUAUUUGCAAGCCAGACAAGGCCAUGAAAUCUGACAUCUGGCCUUGUUUGGGGCUGAAGGAUCAAAGUCAGCUCCCUUGAUUCCUCCUUGAGCCCUGGCCAGGCUUUGGGAGAAACCAAUCAGGAGAAUGAAACCAGAUGUUCCCACCCUAGCAGUGAUGUCAGCUUGUUUGUUUGACGGUAUAAAAGCUGUGUCCUCUCACAGUGGGCUUGGAGCCUGGUUGCCUGCAAAGGUGGAAGCAUCUGCAGGAAUUCCCAGUGUCUGGGAAUGGCUCUGCCGUCCUUGUCUGCCCCAGCUGAUGUGUGGAUCUGGGGGAUGGUAAAGUCUGAGGGUAACUGGUGGUGGAUCUUUCUUUAAUCACUGCAGGCAAUCUUUGGUAGUAAUGACUGGAUGGAUUGCUGAGCUUCUUUUGUAAUUCUUUUCUAAUGAU